GAUGAAGAACGUAGCGAAAUGCGAUAAGUAAUGUGAAUUGCAGAAUUCAGUGAAUCAUCGAAUCUUUGAACGCACAUUGCGCCCUCUGGUAUUCCGGGGGGCAUGCCUGUUCGAGCGUCAUUAUAACCACUCAAGCUCUCGCUUGGUAUUGGAGUUCGCGAUCUCGCGACUCCUAAAAUCAGUGGCGGUGCCUGUCGGCUCUACGCGUAGUAAUACUCCUCGCGAUUGAGUCCGGUAGGUUUACUUGCCAGCAACCCCCAAUUUUUACAGGUUGACCUCGGAUCAGGUAGGGAUACCCGCUGAACUUAAGCAUAUCAAUAAGCGGAGGA
rnacentral:misc_RNA from 1 species